rnacentral:rRNA from 1 species
UACAGAGGAGCCAAGCGUUGUCCGGAUUGACUGGGCGUAAAGCGCACGCAGGCGGACGCGCGCGUGGGGUGUGAAAUCUGGCCGCUUAACGGCCAGGCGCCAUCCCAUACGGCGCGUCUGGAGUGAUGCAGAGGUCGGUGGAAUUGCCGGUGUAGUGGUGAAAUGCGUAGAGAUCAGGAAGAACAUCGGUGGCGAAGGCGCUCUGCUGGACCAUAACUGACACUCAGGGACGAAAGCUAGGGGAGCGAAUGGG